rnacentral:rRNA from 1 species
CUUACACAUGCAGUCGAGCGGGGAAGGUAGCUUGCUACUGGACCUAGCGGCGGACGGGUGAGUAAUGCUUAGGAAUCUGCCUAUUAGUGGGGGACAACAUUCCGAAAGGAAUGCUAAUACCGCAUACGCCCUACGGGGGAAAGCAGGGGAUCUUCGGACCUUGCGCUAAUAGAUGAGCCUAAGUCGGAUUAGCUAGUUGGUGGGGUAAAGGCCUACCAAGGCGACGAUCUGUAGCGGGUCUGAGAGGAUGAUCCGCCACACUGGGACUGAGACACGGCCCAGACUCCUACGGGAGGCAGCAGUGGGGAAUAUUGGACAAUGGGCGGAAGCCUGAUCCAGCCAUGCCGCGUGUGUGAAGAAGGCCUUUUGGUUGUAAAGCACUUUAAGCGAGGAGGAGGCUCCUUUAGUUAAUACCUAAAGUGAGUGGACGUUACUCGCAGAAUAAGCACCGGCUAACUCUGUGCCAGCAGCCGCGGUAAUACAGAGGGUGCGAGCGUUAAUCGGAUUUACUGGGCGUAAAGCGUGCGUAGGCGGCUUUUUAAGUCGGAUGUGAAAUCCCUGAGCUUAACUUAGGAAUUGCAUUCGAUACUGGAAAGCUAGAGUAUGGGAGAGGAUGGUAGAAUUCCAGGUGUAGCGGUGAAAUGCGUAGAGAUCUGGAGGAAUACCGAUGGCGAACGCAGCCAUCUGGUCUAAUACUGACGCUGAUGUACGAAAGCAUGGGGAGCAAACAGGAUUAGAUACCCUGGUAGUCCAUGCCGUAAACGAUGUCUACUAGGCCGUUGGGGUCUUUGAGCUUUAGUGGCGCAGCUAACGCGAUAGUAGACGCUGGGGAGUACGAUCGCA